UUGAACGCUGGCGGCAGGCCUAACACAUGCAAGUCGAGCGGAUGAAGGGAGCUUGCUCCUGGAUUCAGCGGCGGACGGGUGAGUAAUGCCUAGGAAUCUGCCUGGUAGUGGGGGAUAACGUCCGGAAACGGGCGCUAAUACCGCAUACGUCCUGAGGGAGAAAGUGGGGGAUCUUCGGACCUCACGCUAUCAGAUGAGCCUAGGUCGGAUUAGCUAGUUGGUGGGGUAAAGGCCUACCAAGGCGACGAUCCGUAACUGGUCUGAGAAGAUGAUCAGUCACACUGGAACUGAGACACGGUCCAGACUCCUACGGGAGGCAGCAGUGGGGAAUAUUGGACAAUGGGCGAAAGCCUGAUCCAGCCAUGCCGCGUGUGUGAAGAAGGUCUUCGGAUUGUAAAGCACUUUAAGUUGGGAGGAAGGGCAGUAAGUUAAUACCUUGCUGUUUUGACGUUACCAACAGAAUAAGCACCGGCUAACUUCGUG
rnacentral:rRNA from 1 species